GCCCAGCUACCUCAGUUGGUAGAGCAUGGGACUCGUGAUCUCAGAGUUGUAGGUUUGAGCCCCAUGCAGGGUG